AGUUACUACAGCAGGUCAGGGGCCGCUAGAGAAUCCAAAAACUCAAGAAAAGGGAAAGAGAUUCUUGCACAGGGUGUAUAACUGACGAGUUACUACGGCAGGUCAGGGACCACUAGAGAAUCCAAGAGCUCAAGAAAAGGGAAAGAGCUUCUUGCACAGGGUGUAUAACUGACGAGUUACUACGGCAGGUCAGGGACCACUAGAGAAUCCAAGAGCUCAAGAAAAGGGAAAGAGCUUCUUGCACAGGGUGUAUAACUGACGAGUUACUACGGCAGGUCAGGGACCACUAGAGAAUCCAAGAGCUCAAGAAAAGGGAAAGAUUCUUGCACAGGGUGUAUAACUGCUGGGUUACUAGGGCAGGUCAGGGACUGCUGGAAAGCUUCAGAAGAAGACAGUAAUGUCAGUUAAAGCAAGCCUUAGAGAAGAAAGAAAAAGGCCAGAUAAAAUGUCUAAGAGAAAGCAAAAGAAACAUGUAGCAUGUACAGGUGAUUGGAAGGCUUAUGCAAGUUGGUUAGAAGAAGCAGGAAUAAGGAACAGAAAAAGUAAGGCAGGGACAGGACUGACUGGUGACUCUCAGUGUCUGAAAUAUACAGGUCCCAACCUGGACUCAGCUACAUAAAGACACUGACAACCACAGCCACAACAGCAGGAGAAUCCACCUCCAUAUGAAACCAAACCACGUCAGAGUGUAUCCUGAUCUGCAAGAAGAAACACAGCCAAUAGUGCUGAUUGCUCCAGCAUCGGACCAGACAACAGACAGCAUUACAUUCCAGGAGCAUCCCUUGUGGCAGUAGCAGAUGACUUUAUGAAUGCAAUCCGCGAACUGGUGUCCCCGAAAUGCACCAGACAAGCAGGUGAUGGUGAACCAAUAACAGAAGUUUGUUCUCCCAGACCUGACUUGCAGGAAACAGCCUUGGAGAAUCCAGACAUGGAACUGUUUGUGGAUGGGUCAGUCUUUCGAAAUCCAGAGACCGGAAAGAAAAAUGCAGGACUCGCUGUGGUAACACUACUUGACACAAAACUUGCACAACCACUACCAGCUAAUUACUCUGCUCAGACUGCAGAGCUAAAAACUCUCAUAGAGGAAUGUAAAUUGGCUUCAGGAAAAACAGUAAACAUUUUUACAGACAAUAAAUAUGGCUGGUCAGUUUGCUUUGAUUUUCUGAUGUCUUCAGGAAAAUAUAUUGCCCACCACAAACUUGUCUCUGAGUUGCUUGAUGCUAUCCUACUGCCACAAAACUUGAACUUCUAACCGCAUGCCUUGCUAUUUCAGAUACACCAGUCACACCUACUGGUGAUCUGAUGGAUCUGCAGCGUGACAAAGGAGGCGAUAGCUGUAUGGAGGAAAAACAAAUGCAUCAAGCAUUAAGGAGUUUGGUAUGGGCCUGACAAAAAAACAUGUCUCCCAAGAACAUUUUAUGCAAAGUUAACACAUGGAAAGGACCAUGUGUCAAAAGGGGGGUUGUGUGCUGAACUAAAGAAGUACUGGUACACUAAAGGCUUUACAAAUUACUCAGAUUUUGUGAACAAUGUGUAAUCUGUGCAAAGAACAAUGUGGGCAACAAACGUCUUCCAGUGCACAUCUGACACCAGCUAAACCAUUUGAUUAUCUUCAGAUGAAUUUCAUUGAGCUAAGAUCAAGUGAAAAUAAGAGAUAUUGCUUAGUAUUGGUUGAUAUGUAUAGUAAGUCCUACAUCGAAGGCAGACACUGCAACUGUGGCAAAGAUUCUGGUAAGAGAUUUUUUCCAAGAUGGGGCAUUCCAAGGAGAAUUGGUUGUGAUAACAGUAAACACUUUGCAAACAAGUUCAUAGAAGCAGUAAGUGACUACCUGGGGGUUGAUGUGAAAUACCAUUGUGCAGGGCACCCAGAAAGUACUGGUGCAGUUUAAAGAGUGAAUGAUACACUGAAAAACAAACUGAAUGUCAUAGAGAAACAGGUCUCAGAUGGACGCAGGUACUACCUCUGGUGCUUAUGCAAAGAGCUAGACAGUGAAACAGAAGUGGGUUAAGCCCCUUUAAAAUUCUGUUCAGCCGACCUCUCAACACGGGAAUUGGGCCCCGAAACAGACAGCUCCCAACAAUCGACUUAUGUGAGGAUGAAAUGUUACGAUAUUGUGCAAACCUCUCCUCUGUGCUUUCUGAUAUUCACAGGCAGAUUAAAGCCCUAGCGGACCACCAAACCACUGCACGACCUGAAACCAGGAGACUGGGUCGUUGUGAGGGCGAUUAAAAGAAAGAACAGGAGGGCACCAAUGGACUGUCCCAGGUGCUGCUGACAACAGAGACAGCCCUAAAGGUCGCUGAGAGAGCCACUUGGAUACACGCCAGUCACUGCAAGAGGGCUGACCCAGACUCUCCAUCAAGUGCCACUCAAAGACAGUAAGUGAGUCAACACUUUCUCCUACUUUGUGUUGUGGGGGAGAGAGGGGUGUGAACACACGUCUCACAAACUGCAAGUACGCAACACACUGCUUGGGGUGAGCUGUGAUCACACUGUUGAUGAGAUGGCAGCACUGACUGAGAACAGGCCAUGGCACCCAUUAAGACGUCCAGGAUGCAACCUGAAAGGAGGAGUGUGCUGUCUGUUCCUGUUGGCUAUGAUUAUAGCAUUGCCCAUCCUCCAAUCGCACAAAAAGCCAUGGGACAGUAUGCACGUGUCUAUAUCCAUGUGAAGUCAACAGAAGAUGUUGGAACAACACAGGAGUUGUCCCAAUCUCCAGACUGGACCCCUCCUCUCACUUGUGUAAUUCACGAGUGCUUACAGUUAAGAUAGAUAACGCUUGCUCUACAUACAUGUAGCAAAAAAAACAACAAUAACAUUUUGCAUUGGUAACAUUGAUUGAUAAAGGGAAUCAUUACAUGAUGAUGCCUAAUCCUUUUAUAUGAGAAUACCAAAUCAUUUUUUACAUCUGAAGAGGUUCUUUGAGUUUGAUAUACUGUUGUAUGAUAGUCAAGCCGGGGAAUCAAGCAGGCAGGAGUAAGACCCAAACGCAGACAACCAGAAAAGGUGGGUGCAAUAUAAGUAAUUUAAUAAAAGUUAAAAACACAAAAACAGGUAAGCAGUCCAACUAAGGCAAAAUCCAGCAAGGUCCAAGAGAAAACAGAAAAAUAGUCCAAAACACAGAAAACUAAGGCCAGGACACUUGACUUGAGUACAACGACAAACUCACACAGAACAAAGGAAGCAUACAUACUUAAAUACACUGGUGAGGGCAGGAUAACUAGACACAGGUGAAACUAAUUAGGGUGGGGCAAACAAUCAAAACUGGAGGGAAAAGCAAACAAAGACAGGAAGUAAAACUACACAAGACACAUGAGGUCGAACCCAUUACAAAAUAUAACAGGAAAUAGCUGAACAUAAACCCAACACCCACCAUGACAUAUACAUAUUUGUAAGGACUUUGAACCUUAGUCUGAAUGAAGCUAUAAUACUUACAUUUUUAAGAUUUAUACUAACAUUUUUAAGAAUUAUAUUUCUCACAUUUUUAAGAUUUUAUGUCCUUAUUUCGUGUUCAAUGCUCAAAAGGGUGAAUUGUACAGGAAAAUAUAAUUAAGGCUGUAAUGUUGUACUUUGUCUGGAAAUGGUUAGAUUAUGUAAAGGGGGUCAUGAAAAUGUCAAGCUGUAUGAUUUGAGUCCAUUUGCAAAUGCUUGAAUAAAAUACAGGAAAGAGAAUA